AUAAGCUAAGGGAAGUUUGAACU
rnacentral:piRNA from 1 species